GGGUUUGUUAGCAUCGUCUUCAACAAUUGCAAAUCUGCCUCCGACUGAAGAUGCUUUGCUAUUUCAUUGUUUGAGGGCUUAUUAUCAGUCAAUUGUUUAUAACUCUAUCCAAAAUUGCCUUGUAUUGCCGACUGUGGAUGCAAAAAUUGAUAAAGACGGUGAUGUUAAUCCAAUUCUAACCACCUUGCCAUAUUUUCCUUUACAUUUGAACGUUCUUCAUGUGGAUGCAAAAAAGAUUGUGGAAGCAAAGUUUGCACUUGCAAGAAAAGUAAUAUGGGUUAUAUUUGGUCCUGUAAAAGCAUGGGUAAAACUUGCAAAAAGUUCGAUGAGAAACGUGACUUGGAUAAAUAGUGUUUUUAUCUGUUAAUCAAUGCCAAACCGCUACCAACGUUAACAUGGUUUCGCAAUGAUUUGAUGGUAAGCAAUGUCAGUGUAGUAUUGCCCAGUUCUGGAACAAUGACACACGUACGUAGUGAAUUCCGGAUAUCAGGCCUAGGUCGUCGCGAUUUACAUUCGGAGCUCACAUGCCAGGCCUACAAUAAUCCUCGAACACCUCCCCUCGCUGCUACCCUACAUGUUGAUAUGAAUUAUAAGUUAUAAGGUGCCUUCACAUUACGCCUCCAUUCCUAAAAUGAAAGAGUUUUCAUAAAGUGAAGCAUGUCCGGGGGCUCGCCGGAGGUGGAUUUGUCGUUGAUUCUGGUCACAAAGUUGCCCACUCCAUCCAUUUUCUUCUUUUUCAUUGGCAUGAUUGAAAUUCAUGAAUAAUUGGACUUUUGUAGUAUUUUGAAUACUUCAAUGUAAUGUGUUUCGUCGAUGUGUAACACAAUGUUUUUAAAAUUUUUGUAAAGGUGUUUGCUGAUAGCUUUCAUAAGGGAAAUGAAGUUUAAGAGGUUGGAAAAUAAAAUCACAUUUUUAUUAGAACGAUAGUAGUUGGGGUGUAAUUCAAUACAAAGCGGCGAUAUGUAUUGGUAGAUUUUUACUCUAUUAUAAAUGUACUAAGCUAAUUCAAAUAUUUCUAUUCUUAAGGUUUGAUAAAAGUUUUCAUCUAUUA